ACGCUGGCGGCGUGCUUAACACAUGCAAGUCGAACGGAGAGAGAUGGAAGCUUGCUUCUAUCGAUCUUAGUGGCGAACGGGUGAGUAACGCGUAACCAACCUGCCCUUCAGAGGGGGAUAACAACGGGAAACCGUUGCUAAUACCGCGUACGAAUGAACUUCGGCAUCGAAGCUCAUUGAAAGGUGGCCUCUAUUUAUAAGCUAUCGCUGAAGGAGGGGGUUGCGUCUGAUUAGCUAGUUGGAGGGGUAACGGCCCACCAAGGCAAUGAUCAGUAGCCGGUCUGAGAGGAUGAACGGCCACAUUGGGACUGAGACACGGCCCAAACUCCUACGGGAGGCAGCAGUGGGGAAUCUUCCGCAAUGGACGAAAGUCUGACGGAGCAACGCCGCGUGAGUGAUGACGGCCUUCGGGUUGUAAAGCUCUGUUAAUCGGGACGAAUGGUCCUUGUGUGAAUAAUGCAAGGAUUUGACGGUACCGGAAUAGAAAGCCACGGCUAACUACGUGCCAGCAGCCGCGGUAAUACGUAGGUGGCAAGCGUUGUCCGGAAUUAUUGGGCGUAAAGCGCGCGCAGGCGGUUUCAUAAGUCUGUCUUAAAAGUGCGGGGCUUAACCCCGUGAGGGGAUGGAAACUAUGGAACUGGAGUAUCGGAGAGGAAAGCGGAAUUCCUAGUGUAGCGGUGAAAUGCGAAGAUAUUAGGAAGAACACCAGUGGCGAAGGCGGCUUUCUGGACGACAACUGACGCUGAGGCGCGAAAGCCAGGGGAGCGAACGGGAUUAGAUACCCCGGUAGUCCUGGCCGUAAACGAUGGGUACUAGGUGUAGGAGGUAUCGACCCCUUCUGUGC
rnacentral:rRNA from 1 species